rnacentral:lncRNA from 1 species
GAAAUUAGCUGAUCCUGAGAUGUUUGUUUCUCACAUCAGAGUUCCAAUAAUCAAAUCAGAUUUUCUUGCAGCCUUAAAAUGUAUAUUUAUUCAAACAAUACACAGCAUCUCAAAAUAACAUAAACUCUUUGCACACAUCUGUACCAAUACAGCAAUAUGUAUGCACUUAAGUUUAUAUCCAUUUUUUAUGUUAAGUAUUGGUGACGAACAGGGCCGGACUGGGAAAAAAAUUAGGCCCGGGUGUGACGAGACCAAUCUCGCCACUGUGCAUUGGAGGAGCCUGGUUGCCCGUCUGCUGCCUUUAGACUAUGGCCCCAUGUUGAAACGCUUGAUUUUCCCCUGCAAAGACACGAAAGCCGGGUCAUUCGGUGCUUGCCCUGUUUGAGCGGUGAUACCCCAGAUAGCUAUGCCAUGGAGCCCAUUCGUAUAAUGAAAAACUAUGGGAAAGACUUUGGCUCCAUGGCAAUUGAACUGUAUGUGUGUCCUCUGAGCGCCAUUCAGAAAUAAUGUCCGCUCAGAUCUGAGCAAUCUGGGGAUAUGUUGAAUGUAGCCAACAAAUAUAUCACCAAAGGGUGAAAAACACAAAUAGUAAACAUUUUUAACAGUGAGUAGUACUUAGCUUUAGAUCACGAAUGACAGCCUCCCUAGGUCGUUACCCAGAAAUGACCUAUAUCAUAUAUAGAGAAUCACAACAAACAAUUCGGGAUAUGGCUGUAUAAAUCUACAGGAAAGACAUAAAAUAAAACAUAGUGUGAUAUUGUUACAACACAGUUUCGUAAUGCGCAGCAAUAUUUGCACUCACUAGAUGUAGAUAAGUGUAAGUAUUCUUAAGGUGCCUCCCCCGAUGUAAUGGGGGGCCAACAGAUCUCUUUGAUCACCUCCAGAGAAUUAUUCCACCACAGGACUUCCACAGGUUAAGGUAAAAAAAUUAGAAAUUUAUUCAAUAAAAAAAUAAGCAGUCACCAAUCAGCAUAGGAUAUGAAGAGCAGAAAAAAAAGGUCCUAUGCGUUUCGUUCUAAAUGAACUUCCUCAGGGACCGCAGUAAAAACAAUUGAAAAUGUAUCAAUACAUAUUCCAAAACAAACAUAUCCUUAAAAAAACCCUUCCCUGUGUCCUUAAAUAGGGCUAGUCCCUAAGUCCAUUGGUGGAUUCAGUGGGCGUGCAGAUCUUCUUCCAUUCGGAUUGGAGAAGGAAUCUUCUUUCAUCAGCUGUUUCAAACUUCUCCAUAAAAUUGGCGCCCUUUUUCGGCAGAAAACCGGAAGUGACCGUGAUCGCCGAAACCGGAACUGACGUCACGAGUACAUCUGUGUUCCAAAUGCGUUCCAGCAGCCAUUAAUCUCUAUGGCAACCGGACACACAGAUUCAGCUACAAUUCAUGUGGAUCAAAGGAGUAAUUGAAGUUCAAAGUUCUUCUAGAGAAACAUGUGUUAGCUAUAUUUAACUCAAAACACCCUCAUGCCUUAUUCAUAUAUCACUAUACAAUAGAUGUUAGUAACUUUUAUAGCUAAUCAACAUAGAUUAUAUUCAUCAGAUUAAAGGACCACUCUAGGCACCCAGACCACUUCAGCUUAAUGAAGUGGUCUGGGUGCCAGGUCCUUCUAGGGUUAACCCAUUUCAUAAACAUAGCAGAGAAACUGCUAUGUUUAUGAAUGGGUUAAGCCUUCCCCCUAAUCCUCUAGUGGCUGUCUCAUUGACAGCCACUAGAGGCGCUUGCGUGCUUCUCACUGUGAUUUUCACAGUGAGAGCACACAAGCGUCCAUUGGAAAGCAUUGUAAAUGCUUUCCUAUGCGACGGGCUGAAUGCGCGCGCGCAUUCAGCCCAGGAGGAGGAGAGAAGAAGGAGAGCUAUCCGCCCAGCGCUGGAAAAAGGUAAGUAUUUAACCCUUUCCCCCUUCCAGAGCCGGGCGGGAGGGGGUCCCUGAGGAUGGGGGCACCCUCAGGGCACUAUAGUGCCAGGAAAACGAGUAUGUUUUCCUGGCACUAUAGUGGUCCUUUAAACAAUAUAAAAAGAUAUUUUAUAUAAAAUAAUAAAGUGCAAUAAAAAAAAAAAAAGGAUGUUUCUCUGGACAUGAGGAAUAACUUCAGUCCUAUAAAUGAACACCCAUGUCUAUUUAUUUUUAAAGGGAUAUGACAACCUAAAUCCCAAGUGUAGAGUGUUUGAUCAAACAAUUCAUUGUAUAUCCCCAUUUAGUGGAUACACAAUAAUUGUUCUGUAUCAUAUUUAUAAACCCUUAAAAUAACUUGUAAUAAUA